UACGGAGGGUGCAAGCGUUUAUCCGGAUUCACUGGGUUUAAAGGGAGCGUAGGUGGGCAGGUAAGUCAGUGGUGAAAUCUCCGGGCUCAACCCGGAAACUGCCAUUGAUACUAUUUGUCUUGAAUUAUCUGGAGGUAAGCGGAAUAUGUCAUGUAGCGGUGAAAUGCUUAGAUAUGACAUAGAACACCCAUUGCGAAGGCAGCUUACUACGGAUAUAUUGACACUGAGGCUCGAAAGCGUGGGGAUCAAACAGG
rnacentral:rRNA from 1 species